CACGUAGGGUGCGAGCGUUGUCCGGAAUUAUUGGGCGUAAAGAGCUCGUAGGCGGUUUGUCGCGUCUGCUGUGAAAACCUGAGGCUCAACCUCGGGCUUGCAGUGGGUACGGGCAGACUAGAGUGCGGUAGGGGUGACUGGAAUUCCUGGUGUAGCGGUGGAAUGCGCAGAUAUCAGGAGGAACACCGAUGGCGAAGGCAGGUCACUGGGCCGCAACUGACGCUGAGGAGCGAAAGCAUGGGGAGCGAACAGG
rnacentral:rRNA from 1 species